UACAGAGGUCCCAAGCGUUGUUCGGAUUCAUUGGGCGUAAAGGGUGCGUAGGCGGCGCGGUAAGUCGGGUGUGAAAUCUCGGGGCUUAACUCCGAAACUGCAUUCGAUACUGCCGUGCUUGAGGACUGGAGAGGAGACUGGAAUUUACGGUGUAGCGGUGAAAUGCGUAGAUAUCGUAAGGAAGACCAGUGGCGAAGGCGGGUCUCUGGACAGUUCCUGACGCUGAGGCACGAAGGCCAGGGGAGCAAACGGGAUUAGA
rnacentral:rRNA from 1 species